rnacentral:rRNA from 1 species
GACGAGGGGUCCUAGCGUUGUUCGGAAUCACUGGGCGUAAAGCGUAUGUAGGCGGCUUUUCAAGUCAGGUGUGAAAUCCCAUGGCUUAACCAUGGAACUGCAUUUGAAACUGUAAAGCUUGAGUAUUGGAGAGGAUGGUAGAAUUCCUGGUGUAGUGGUGAAAUACGUAGAUAUCAGGAGGAAUACCGGUGGCGAAGGCGGCCAUCUGGCCAAAUACUGACGCUGAGAUACGAAAGUGUGGGGAUCAAACAGG